UCCAAUUCUAUCUAGAUAACAUCCUACCGUCAACAUGGCUCUGAUACCACUUCUGUCACACCCGAGUUUAAGGGGGCACCAAACCCGGGCGUAAAAUGCCAAAUGUGUGCUGCUAGGAUCAAGUCUCACACAUAUGAUGAGUCAUGGUACAUAAACAAAUGUAACAUCAUUAAUAUAUGAUGGAGUUCUGUAUAAAAUAAUUAAGUAAUUACAUCAUAGAAGACGACGAUCUAGCAACCAAAGUUGAUUGGGGGACGACGACCUAGACCUCUCACGAACUCAUCACGACAUCCUUCAUGCUCCUCAUCUUGUAGUAUCUGUCCUUGACCUGGGGGAUGUGAGUACAUCAAGGGUGAGCUCACAUACGUUCAUUGCUCAACAAGUUGUGGGGAAUAAUGUGCAUGAGCUCACUAGUGAUGACUCAUGUGAAGUGUAAGGCUUACCAAAGGAGAUGGUUAAAGUUGAGCAUUGCUUUUAAAGUUGGUCAAAGUUUUAUUAGUAGUUACUAAGUGUAAGUAGAUACCAACCCAAUAAAGUAAGAGAUCAAAAUUAAUAAUAACACCCACAAUGCAAUGCAUAUGACAAAUUAAGUUUAGUUCCAUAGUUUAAUCAUAUGAGGGUCCGAGCCGCUCGUGACCGUGAGCACGACUGAUAUACUAGUUUUACACUCUAUAGAGGUUGCACAUCUUUACUCACAAGUCAUGUUACCUAUUUUCCAAGGUAUCACGACUUCCCAUUCAUCUCUACCGAGGAGACAAGGCAGGGUAGCACUACGAGGUCUUUACAAAGUUCCACUAGCUUCAGAAAACCCGCUACGGUUUCUGAGAAGGGCAAUAUAGGAAUUGAAAGGGAAUUAGGCUUCCACCUUUUUCCUAAAUAAUUUUGGUGGUUGAAUUGCCCAACACAAACAAUUGGACUAACUAGUUUGCCCAAGUUUAUAAGUUCUACAGGUACCAAAGGUUCACAAUAAGCCAAUAAAAAGAUCAAGAGAAAGAGUUCAAACAAAGGAGCAAAGGGACAACCGAAGGCACCCUGGUCGGGCGCACCGGACAGUGUCUGGUGCACCAGGGGACUCCAAGCUAAACUUCGCACCUUCGGGAAAACUCGGAGCCGCCGCGCUAUAAUUCACCGGACUGUCCGGUGUACACCGGACAGUGUCCGGUGCUCCAGGAAUGAAGCGACUCUGAACUCGCCAGCUUCGGGAAUCCGCUCCGCUAUAAUUCACCGGACAUGUCCGGUGUACACCGGACUAUCCGGUGUAACAGCGGAGCAACAACUACUUCGGCGCCAACGGUUACCUGCAGGCGCAUUAAAUGCGCGCCAGAACACGCAGAAGUCAGGCACGCGCGAAGUGGCGCACCGGACACCCUACAGUGCAUGUCCGGUGCGCCACCGGACAUCCAGGCGGGCCCAGCAGUCAGAGCUCCAACGGUCAGAACCCUAACGGUCGGGUGACAUGGCUGGCGCACCGGACAUGUUCGGUGUGCACCGGACUGUCCGGUGCACCAUGCGACAAACAGCCUCCACCCCAACGGCUAGUUUGGUGGUUGGGGCUAUAAAUACCCCAACCACCCCACAUUCAAUUGCAUCCAAGUUUUCACACUUCUACACCUUACAAGAGCUCUAGCAUUCAAUUCUAGACACACCCAAGUGAUCAAAUCCUCUCCAAUUCCACACAAGGCCUUAGUGAUUAGUGAGAGAGAUUUGUCGUGUUCUUUUGAGCUCUUGUGCUUGGAUUGCUUCUUUUCUUUCUCAAUUGUUCUUGUGAUCAAAACUCAUUUGUAACCAAGGCAAGAGACACCAAUUGUGUGGUGGUCCUUGCGGGGAAGUUUUGUUCCCGAUUGAUUUGAGAAGAAAAGCUCACUCGGUCCGAGGGACCGUUUGAGAGAGGGAAAGGGUUGAAAAAGACCCGGCCUUUAUGGCCUCCUCAACGGGGAGUAGGUUUGCGAGAACCGAACCUCGGUAAAACAAAUCCGCGUGUCACACUCCUCAUUCGCUUGUGAUUUGUUUUGCGCCCUCUCUCGGACUCAUUAUUAUUUCUAACGCUAACCCAGCUUGUAGUUGUGUUUAAAUUGUUAAAUUUCAGUUUCGCCCUAUUCACCCCCCCUCUAGGCGACUUUCAAUUGGUAUCAGAACCCGGUGCUUCAUUAGAGCCUAACCGCUCGAAGUGAUGUCGGGAGAUCACGCCAAGAAGGAGAUGAAGACCGGCGACAAGCCCACUACAAGCCACGAGUCGACUUCAUCGGAAGAGUCCCGCAACAAGAGGAAGGAGAAGAAGAACUCCUCCAACAAAGGGAAGGGGAAGGAGAAGAAAUCAUCUUCCCACAAGUCGCAUCAGAGAGGCGAUAAGCACAAAAGGAUGAGGAAAGUGGUCUACUACGAGACCGACUCUUCAUCACCAUCGACCUCCGACUCCGAUGCACCGUCCGUAACUUCUAAGCGCCAAGAGCGCAAGAAGUAUAGUAAGAUCCCCCUACGCUACCCCCACAUUUCAAAGCGUACUCCUUUACUCUCCGUUCCAUUAGGCAAACCACCGGUUUUUGACGGUGAAGAUUAUAAUAUGUGGAGUGACAAAAUGAGGCAUCAUCUAACCUCACUCCACACAAGCAUUUGGAAUGUUGUUGAGUUUGGUGUACAGGUGCAUCCGUAGGGGAUGAAGACUACGACUCGGACGAGGUGGCCCAAAUUCACCACUUUAACUCCCAAGCAACCACUAUACUCCUCGCCUCUCUAAGUCGAGAGGAGUAUAAUAAGGUGCAAGGGUUAAAAAGUGCGAAGGAAAUUUGGGACGUACUCAAGACCGCACACGAAGGAGACGAGGUGACAAAGAUCACCUAGCGGGAGACGAUCGAGGGGGAGCUCGAUCGCUUCAUGCUCCACCAAGGGGAAGAUCCGCAAGACAUGUACAACCGCUUGAAGACCUUGGUGAAUCAAGUGCGCAACCUUGGGAGCGAAAAAUGGGAUGACCAUGAGAUGGUCAAGGUUAUUCUUAGAUCCCUCGUUUUCCUUAACCCUACACAAGUUCAAUUAAUUCGAGGUGAUCCUAGAUACAAGCUAAUGUCUCCUGAGAAGGUUAUAGGAAAGUUUGUGAGCUUUGAGCUAAUGAUUAAAGGCUCAAAGAAAAUCAUCGAGCAAGGCACCUCCUCCACGCCCGAGGCACAUCCCGUUGCAUUCAAGGCGACAGAGGAAAAGAAGGAGGAGUCUACAUCAAGUAGACAACCCAUUGAUGCCUCCAAGCUCGACAAUGAGGAGAUGGCUUUAAUCAUCAAAAGCUUUCGCCAAAUCCUCAAGCAACGGAAGGGGAAGGACUAUAAAUCCCGUUCCAAGAAGGUUUGCUACAAGUGUGGUAAGUCCGGUCACUUUAUUGCUAAAUGUCCAUUAUCAAGUGAUAGUGACAGGGACAAUGACAAGAAGGGAAGAAGGAAGGAGAAGAAGAGGUACUACAAGAAGAAGGGCGGUGAUGCCCAUGUUUGCCGGGAGUGGGACUCCGACGAGAGCUCCACCGACUCCUCCUCCGACGAGGACGCCGCCAACAUCGCCGUCACCAAGGGUCUUCUCUUCGCCAAUGUCGGCCACAAAUGCCUCAUGGCCAAGGACGGCAAAAAGAAGAAGGUUAAAUCCAAAUCCUCCACUAAAUAUGAGUCCUCUAGUGAUGAUAAUGCUAGUGAUGAGGAAGAUAAUUUGCGUACCCUUUUUGCCAACCUAAACAUGCAACAAAAGGAAAAAUUAAAUGAACUAAUUAGUGCCAUCCAUGAGAAGGAUGAACUCUUGGACUCCCAAGAGGACUUCCUAAUCAAGGAAAACAAAAAGCAUGUUAAGGUUAAAAAUGCUUACGCUCUACAAGUUGAAAAAUGUGAAAAAUUGUCUAGUGAGCUAAGCACUUGUCAUGAGACUAUUGACAACCUUAGAAAUGAGAAUGCUAAUUUGUUAGCUAAGGUUGAUUCUAAUGUUUCAAUUCCCAAUCUUAGAGAUGAUAAUGUUGAUUUACAUGCUAAGAUUAAAGAAUUGAAUGAUUCUCUUGCUAGCCUUAGGAUUGAAAAUGAAAAAUUGCUUGCUAAGGCUAAAGAUUUUGAUGUUUGCAAUGUUACUAUUUCUAACCUUAGAAGUGAGAAUGAUAUAUUACAUGCUAAGGUUGUAGAAUUAAAAUCUUGCAAACUCUCUACAUCUACCGUUGAGCAUGUUUCUAUUUGUACUAGAUGUAGAGAUGUUGAUAUUAAUGCUAUUCAUGAUCAUAUGACUUUAAUUAAACAACAAAAUGAUCAUAUAGCUAAAUUAGAUGCUAAAAUUGCCGAGCAUAACUUAGAGAAUGAAAAGUUUAAAUUUGCUAGAAGUAUGCUCUAUAGUGGGAGACACCCUGGCAUCAAGGAUGGCAUUGGCUUCCAAAGGGGAGACAAUGUCAAACUUAAUGCCCCUCCUAAAAGAUUGUCUGAUUUUGUUAAGGGCAAGGCUCCCAUGCCUCAGGAUAACGAGGGUUACAUUUUGUACCCUGCCGGUUAUCCCGAGAGCAAAAUUAGGAGAAUUCAUUCUAGGAAGUCUCACUCUGGCCCUAACCAUGCUUUUAUGUAUAAGGGUGAGACAUCUAGCUCUAGGCAACCAACCCGUGCUAAGUUGCCUAAGAAGAAAACUCCUAGCGCAUCAAAUGACCAUAACAUUUCAUUCAAAACUUUUGAUGCAUCAUAUGUUUUAACUAACAAAUCCGGCAAGGUAGUUGCCAAGUUUGUUGGGGGUAAACACAAGGGCUCCAAGACUUGUGUUUGGGUACCCAACGUUCUUGUGUCUAAUGCUAAAGGACCCAAAACGGUUUGGGUACCUAAAGUCAAGAACUAAACUUGUGUUGUAGGUUUAUGCAUCCGGGGGCUCAAGUUGGAUCAUCGAUAGCGGGUGCACAAACCACAUGACAGGGGAGAAGAAGAUGUUCUCCUCCUACGAGAAAAACCAAGAUCCCCAACGAGCUAUCACAUUCGGGGAUGGAAACCAAGGUUUGGUCAAAGGUUUGGGUAAAAUUGCUAUAUCUCCUGACCAUUCCAUUUCCAAUGUUUUUCUUGUUGAUUCAUUAGAUUACAAUUUGCUUUCCGUUUCACAAUUAUGUCAAAUGGGCUACAACUGUCUUUUUACUAAUGUAGGUGUCACUGUCUUUAGAAGAAGUGAUGAUUCAAUAGCCUUUAAGGGAGUGUUAGAGGGUUAGCUAUACUUGGUAGAUUUUGAUAGAGCUAAACUCGACACUUGCUUAAUUGCUAAGACUAACAUGGGUUGGCUCUGGCACCGCCGACUAGCCCAUGUUGGAAUGAAGAAUCUUCAUAAGCUUCUAAAGGGAGAGCACAUUUUAGGAUUAACAAAUGUUCAUUUUGAGAAAGACAGGAUUUGUAGCGCAUGCCAAGCUGGGAAGCAAGUUGGUGUUCAUCAUCCACACAAGAACAUCAUGACGACUGACAGGCCACUGGAGCUCCUACACAUGGAUUUAUUCGGCCCGAUCGCUUACAUAAGCAUCGGCGGGAGUAAGUACUGUCUAGUUAUUGUGGAUGAUUGUUCUCGCUUCUCUUGGGUAUUCUUUUUGCAGGAAAAAUCUCAAACCCAAGAGACCUUAAAGGGAUUCUUGAGACAGGCUCAAAAUGAGUUCGCCUUAAGGAUCAAGAAAAUAAGAAGCGACAACGGGACGAAGUUCAAGAAUUCACAAAUUGAAGGCUUCCUUGAGGAGGAGGGCAUCAAGCAUGAGUUCUCUUCUCCCUACACCCCACAACAAAAUGGUGUAGUGGAGAUGAAGAAUCGAACUCUAUUGGACAUGGCAAGAACCAUGCUUGAUGAGUACAAGACGCCGGAUCAGUUUUGGGCCGAGGCGGUUAACACCGCCUGCUACGCCAUCAACCGGUUAUAUCUACACCGAAUCCUCAAGAAGACAUCCUAUGAACUCCUAACCGGUAAAAAGCCAAUAUUUCAUAUUUUAGAGUUUUUGGUAGCAAAUGCUUUAUUCUUGUUAAAAGAGGAAGAAAAUCUAAAUUUGCUCCUAAAACUGUAGAAGUCUUUUUACUAGGGUAUGACUCAAACACAAGGGCAUAUAGAGUCUUUAACAAGUCCUCAGGACUUGUUGAAGUUUCUUGUGACGUUGUGUUUGAUGAAACUAACGGCUCUCAAGUAGAGCAAGUUGAUCUUGAUGAGAUAGGUGAAGAAGAGGCUCCGUGCAUCGCGCUAAGGAACAUGUCCAUUGGGGAUGUGUGUCCUAAGGAAUCCGAAGAGCCUCCACAUGCACAAGAUCAACCAUCCUCCACGCAACCAUCUCCACCAACUCAAAAUGAGGACGAGGCACAAGUUGAUGAAGGAGAAAAUCAAAAUGAUGAGCCACCUCAAGAUGACGGCAAUGAUCAAGGGGGAGAUGCAAAUGAUCAAGACAAGGAGGAUGAAGAACCAAGGCCGCCACACCCAAGAGUCCACCAAGCAAUCCAACGAGAUCACCCUGUUGACACCAUCCUUGGCGACAUUCAUAAGGGGGUAACCACUAGAUCUCGUGUUGCACAUUUUUGUGAGCAUUACUCUUUUGUUUCCUCUAUUGAGCCACACAGGGUAGAGGAAGCACUCCAAGAUUCGGAUUGGGUGAUGGCGAUGCAAGAGGAGCUCAACAAUUUCACUAGGAACGAGGUAUGGCAUUUAGUUCCACGUCCUAAUCAAAAUGUUCUAGGAACCAAAUGGGUCUUCCGCAACAAGCAAGAUGAGCAUGGUGUGGUGACAAGGAAUAAAGCUCGACUCAUGGCCAAGGGGUAUUCACAAGUCGAAGGUUUGGAUUUCAGUGAAACCUAUGCACCCAUAGCUAGGCUUGAGUCAAUUCGUAUAUUAUUAGCCUAUGCUACUUAUCAUGGCUUCAAGCUUUACCAAAUGGACGUGAAGAGUGCCUUCCUCAAUGGACCAAUCAAGGAAGAGGUCUACGUUGAGCAACCUCCCGGCUUUGAAGACAGUGAGUACCUGAGAGCACCUAGAGGGGGGGGGGGGUGAAUAGGUGAUCCUGUAAAACUUAAACUUAUAGCCACAAAAACUUGUUAAGUGUUAGCACAGUUCUUGCCAAGUGGCUAGAGAGGAGUCAAAACACAAUAACCACAAGAAAUCAAUCACAGAGAUGACACGGUGGUUAUCCCGUGGUUCGGCCAAGUACAAAACUUGCCUACUCCACGUUGUGGCGUCCCAACGGACGAGAGUUGCACUCAACUCCUCUCAAGUGAUCCAAUGAUCAACUUGAAUACCACGGUGUUCUUGCUUUUCUUUUCUCAAUCUCGUUUGCGAGGAAUCUCCACAACUUGGAGCCUCUCGCCCUUACAAAAAGAUGUUCACAGAGAAUCACGGAGCAAGGGAGGGAUUAGCAACUCACACACGACAAACGAUCACAGCAAAUACGCACACACAAGACCCAGACUUGAGCUCAAGAGACUAGCACACUAGAACGGAGCUCAAAUCACUAGAAUGUCGAACAAGUGCGCAAGAUUGAUGUGUGAGUGAUCAAGAGUGCUCAAGGAAUGCUUGGUUUUUCUCCUCCAUGCGCCUAGGGGACCCUUUUAUAGCCCCAAGGCAGCUAGGAGCCGUUGAGAACAAAUCUGGAAGGCCAUCCCUGCCUUCUGUCGUCGGGUGCACCGGACAGUCCGGUGCACACCGGACACUGUCCGGUGCCCGAUUUAUUUCCAUAAACAGCACAGUCGACCGUUGCAGACCGUUGGAGAUCUGGGAGCCAAUGGCGCACCGGACAUGUCCGGUGCACACCGGACAGUCCGGUGCCUCCUUCCGACCGUUGGCCAGGCCACGUGUCCCGCGCAGAUCGCGCGGCCGACCGUUGGCUCAGCCGACCGUUGGCUCACCGGACAGUCCGGUGCACACCGGACAGUCCGGUGAAUUAUAGUCGUACGCCGUCGGCAAAUUCCCGAGAGCGGCCUCUUCGGCCGAGGCAGCCUGGCGCACCGGACACUGUCCGGUGCACCACCGGACAGUCCGGUGCCCCAGACCGAAACAGCCCCUUUGCUGUACACAGCCAACUCUUUUCUUUUCUUUUUCUUCCUGUUUCCAAUACUUAGACAAGUAUAUUAGUACACAAAACCAAUGUACUAAGGCUUAGAAACAUACCUUUACUUGUGAUUUGCACCUUGUUCAUCCAUGGGCAUAGAUUCACAAUUAAGCACUUGUGUUUGCACUCAAUCACCAAAAUACUUAGAAAUGGCCCAAGGGCACAUUUCCCUUUCAAUCUCCCCCUUUUUGGUGAUUUAUGCCAACACAACAUAAAGCAACUAGAACAAGUGCAAGAUCACUUCAAAUAAACCUCAAAUUUAUUUUGAUUCAUUUUUGGCAUAUAUGGAUCAUCCUUUGCCACCACUUGGUUUGUUUUUGUAAAUCGUACUCAAAUCUCUAUCUCUAAGUCAAACACACAUGUUGAAGCAUAAAGAGAGUCAUUCCAAAAGAGAUUGAUCAAGGAUUUCAAAAACUCCCCCUUUUUCCCAUAAUUACUACUUCUCCCCACAAGAAGCCAACUUUUCACAAAAGAGACAAUAAGAGUUUUGACAAAACAAAAGCUCUACCCUACUACUAUUUUCAAAUCUCUCAAGUGGUAGCUGAUCCAUUUAUUGCUUUGGCCUUUAUUUUCUCCCCCUUUGGCAUCAAGCACCAAAACGGGAUCAAUCUUGGCCCUUUAACCCCAUUGCCUCACCAAAAUCUUCAAUUAAGAGUACAAAGGCAAUAAGAUCAUAGAGAUGAACUUGGAAUAAGUUACCCUCUCAUCGGAGUGCAGUGGAAGUCUUGCAUGGUCCAAGUCCACCUUUCCCUUUCAAAUCUCCUUCGAGACUAAAUCAAGCAAACUCAAACAAAUGGUUAGUCUCAAAGGGUCAAGUUGUAGCACAUCUCCCCCUAAAUGUGUGCAUCACUUGCAAAAAGGACUUGUGAGAUCCGGGGAGUGCUUGUACAACUUGAGCACCAUCAAUAAGCAACAAAAUGCAUAAGGAACAUGAUCAAUGGCAUAAACACAUGUAUGCUAUAAAUCAAUCUAAGUUCCGCGAAUCUAAGACAUUUAGCUCACUACGCAGCCUGCAAAAGGUCUUCUCAUCUAGAGGCUUGGUAAAGAUAUCGGCUAGCUGGUUCUCGGUGCUAACAUGAAACACUUCGAUAUCUCCCUUUUGCUGGUGGUCUCUCAAAAAGUGAUGCCGGAUGUCUAUGUGCUUUGUGCGGCUGUGUUCAACAGGAUUUUCCGCCAUGCGGAUAGCACUCUCAUUAUCACAUAGGAGUGGGACUUUGCUCAGAUUGUAGCCAAAGUCCCGGAGGGUUUGCCUCAUCCAAAGUAGUUGCGCGCAACACUGGCCUGCGGCAACAUACUCGGCCUCAGCGGUGGAUAGGGCAACAGAAGUUUGUUUCUUAGAAUUCCAAGACACCAGGGACCUUCCUAAGAAUUGGCACGUCCCCGAUGUACUCUUCCUAUCGACCUUACAUCCAGCAUAGUCGGAGUCUGAGUAUCCAACUAAGUCAAAGAUAGACCCCUUUGGAUACCAGAGCCCGAAGCAAGGCGUAGCAACUAAAUAUCUAAGAAUUCGCUUCACCGCCACUAAGUGACACUCCUUAGGAUCGGAUUGAAAUCUAGCACACAUGCAUACGCUAAGCAUAAUAUCCGGUCUACUAGCACAUAAGUAAAGCAAAGAACCUAUCAUUGACCGGUAUGCUUUUUGAUCAAUGGACUUACCUCCUUUGUUGAGGUCGGUGUGUCCGUCGGUUCCCAUCGGAGUCUUUUGCGGGCUUAGCGUCCUUCAUCCCAAACCGCUUUAGCAGAUCUUGCGUGUACUUCGUUUGGGAGAUGAAGGUGCCGUCCUUGAGUUGCUUCACUUGGAACCCAAGGAAGUAGUUCAACUCGCCCAUCAUCGACAUCUCGAAUUUCUGCGUCAUCACCCUGCUAAACUCUUCACAAGACUUUUGGUUAGUAGAACCAAAUAUUAUGUCAUCGACAUAAAUUUGGCACACAAACAAAUCACCAUCACAUGUCUUUGUAAAAAGAGUUGGAUCGGCUUUCCCAACCUUGAAAGCAUUAACAAUUAGAAAGUCUCUAAGGCAUUCAUACCAUGCUCUUGGGGCUUGCUUAAGUCCAUAGAGCGCCUUAGAGAGCUUACACACGUGGUCGGGGUACCGUUCAUCCUCGAAGCCAGGGGGUUGCUCCACGUACACCUCCUCCUUGAUUGGCCCGUUGAGGAAAGCGCUCUUCACAUCCAUUUGGUACAACCUGAAGGAAUGAUGAGCGGCAUAUGCUAGCAAGAUACGAAUGGACUCUAGCCUAGCCACAGGAGCGAAAGUCUCCUCAAAGUCCAAACCUGCGACUUGGGCAUAACCUUUUGCCACAAGUCGAGCCUUGUUCCUCGUCACCACCCCGUGCUCGUCCUGUUUGUUGCGGAACACCCACUUGGUUCCCACAACAUUUUGCUUCGGACGAGGCACCAGUGUCCAAACUUCAUUGCGCUUGAAGUUGUUGAGUUCCUCCUGCAUGGCCAACACCCAGUCCAGAUCUAGCAAGGCCUCCUCUACCCUGAAAGGCUCAAUAGAAGAGACAAAGGAGUAAUGCUCACAAAAAUUUACUAAUCUAGAUCGAGUAGUUACUCCCUUGCUAAUGUCACCCAAAAUUUGGUCGACGGGAUGAUCCCUUUGAAUCAUCGCUCGAACUUGGGUUGGAGGUGCCGGUUGCGCUUCCUCCUCCAUCACAUGAUUAUCUUGUGCUCCCCCUUGAUCACACGCCUCCACUUGAGGUACCUGUUCGUCAUCUUGGGUUGGGAGAUGCAUCAUGGUUGAGGAAGAAGGUUGAUCUUGCUCCAAGUAUUCCUGUGGUCGCACAUCACCAAUCGCCAUGGUGCGCAUAGCGGCCGUUGGAACAUCUUCUUCAUCUACAUCAUCAAGAUCAACAACUUGCUCUCUUAGAGAGCCAUUAGUCUCAUCAAAUACAACGUCGCUAGAGACUUCAACCAAACCCGAUGAUUUGUUGAAGACUCUAUACGCCUUUGUAUUUGAGUCAUAACCUAAUAAAAACCCUUCUACAGCUUUGGGAGCAAACUUAGAAUUUCUACCUUUCUUCACUAGAAUGUAGCACUUGCUCCCAAAUACACGAAAGUAAGAUACAUUGGGUUUGUUACCGGUUAGUAGCUCAUACGACGUCUUCUUGAGGAGGCGAUGAAGGUAGACCCUAUUGAUGGCGUGGCAAGCCGUAUUCACGGCUUCCGUCCAAAAGUACUCGGGGGUCUUGAACUCUCCUAGCAUCGUCCUUGCCAUGUCGAUGAGCGUCCUGUUCUUCCUCUCUACCACACCAUUUUGCUGUGGUGUGUAGGGAGCGGAGAACUCGUGCUUGAUCCCUUCCUCUUCAAGGAACUCCUCUACUUGAAGGUUCUUGAACUCGGACCCGUUGUCGCUCCUUAUCUUCUUCACCUUGAGCUCAAACUCAUUUUGAGCUCUCCUGAGGAAGCGCUUGAGGGACCCUUGGGUUUCAGACUUAUCCUGCAAGAAGAACACCCAAGUAAAGCGGGAAAAGUCAUCAACAAUAACUAAACCAUACUUACUUCCCCCUAUGCUUAGAUAGGCGACGGGUCCGAAGAGAUCCAUAUGUAGCAGCUCCAGGGGUCUUGUUGUGGUCAUCACAUUCUUGCUGUGAUGCGUUCCUCCCACCUGUUUACCUGUCUGACAAGCUGCACAAGGUCUAUCUUUUUCGAAUUGAACGUUAGUCAAACCUAUCACGUGUUCUCCCUUUAGAAGUUUGUGAAGGUUCUUCAUCCCCACAUGUGCUAAGCGGCGAUGCCACAGCCAGCCCAUGCUAGUCUUAGCUAUUAAGCAUGCAUCUAGACCGGCUUCUUCUUUUGCAAAAUCAACUAAGUACAGUUUGCCGUCUAAUACACCCUUAAAAGCUAGUGAACCAUCACUUCUUCUAAAGACAGACACAUCUACAUUAGUAAAUAGACAGUUAUACCCCAUAUUGCAUAAUUGACUAACAGAUAGUAAAUUAUAUCCUAGAGACUCUACUAAAAACACAUUAGAGAUAGAAUGCUCAUUAGAAAUUGCAAUUUUACCUAACCCUUUUACCUUGCCUUGAUUCCCAUCACCGAAUAUGAUUGAAUCUUGGGAAUCCUUAUUCUUGACGUAGGAGGUGAACAUCUUCUUCUCCCCCGUCAUAUGGUUUGUGCAUCCGCUGUCAAUAAUCCAGCUUGAACCUCCGGAUGCAUAAACCUGCAAGGCAAAUUUAGGCUUGGGUUUUAGGUACCCAACUCAUGUUGGGUCCUACAAGGUUAGCACAAAUAUUCUUAGGGACCCAAAUGCAAGUUUUGUCUCCCUUGCAUCUUGCCCCUAACUUCCUAGCAAUUACCUUUCUAUCCUUUCUACAAAUUGCAAAGGAAGCAUUCAAAGCAUGAUAUAUUGUAGAAGGCUCAUUAACUUUCCUAGGAAUAUUAACAACAUUUCUCCUAGGCAUAUUAUGAACAACAUCCCUUCUACCAACAUUUCUAUCAUGCACAUAUGAAGAACUAGAAGCAAACAUAGCAUGAGAAGAAUCAUUGUACUCAUUAUAACUCCUAUAAGCAUUUCUAGUUUGUCUCCUAUCAUGAUACAAAAAGGCAUGGUUCUUUUUAGCACUAGCAGCCAUAGGGGCCUUCCCUUUCUCCUUAGUGGGAAUGGGAGCCUUAUGGCUUGUUAAGUUCUUGGCUUCCCUCUUGAAGCCAAGCCCAUCCUUAAUUGAGGGGUGUCUACCAACCGUGUAGGCAUCCCUAGCAAAUUUUAGUUUAUCAAAAUUACUCUUGCUAGUCUUAAGUUGAGCAUUAAGACUAGCUAAUUCAUCAUUCAAUUUUGAAAUAGAAACUAAGUGUUCGCUACAAGCAUUAAUAUCAAUAUCCUUACACCUAGUGCAAAUUUCAACAUAUUCAACACAAGAGUUGGAUUUAUUUGCUUCUACUAGUUUAGCAUUUAAAUCAUCGUUUAUGCUCUUUAAGUUAGAAAUAGAAUCAUGGCAUGUUGACACUUCACAAGCAAGCAUUUCAUUCCUCUUAAUUUCUAAUGCAAGGGAUUUUUGAGCCUCUACAAACUUAUCAUGUUCUUCAUACAACAAAUCCUCUUGCUUUUCUAAAAGUAUAUUCUUUUCAUUCAAGGCAUCAAUUAAUUCAUUAAUUUUGUCUAUCUUAGAUCUAUCUAAGCCCUUAAACAAACAUGAAUAAUCUACUUCAUCCUCAUCACUAGAUUCGUCCUCACUUGAAGAAGCAUAGGUAGAGUUGCGAGUACAUACCUUCUUUUCCCUUGCCAUAAGGCAUGUGUGACGCUCGUUGUGGAAGAGGGUUGAUUUGUUGAAGGCGGUGGCGGCGAGUCCUUCACUGUCGGAAUCGGAAGAGGAGCAAUCCGAGUCCCACUCCUUGCCUAGAUGCGCCUCGCCCUUUGCCUUCUUGUAAUGCUUCUUCUUUUCCCUCUUGUUUCCCUUUUCCUGGUCACUAUCAUUAUCGGGGCAGUUAGCGAUAAAAUGACCAAUCUUACCGCACUUGAAGCAUGAGCGCUUUCCCUUCGUCUUGGUCUUGCUUGGCUGCCCCUUGUGACCCUUUAGCACCGUCUUGAAGCGUUUGAUGAUGAGAGCCAUCUCUUCAUCAUUAAGUCUGACCUCCUCAAUUUGUGCCACCUUGCUAGGUAGCGCCUCCUUACUUCUUGAUGCUUUGAGAGCAAAAGGUUGUGGUUCGUUGAUCGGUCCAUUCAAGGCGUCGUCCACGUAUCUUGCCUCCUUGAUCAUCAUUCGCCCACUGACGAAUUUUCCUAAGACUUCUUCGGGCGACAUUUUGGUGUACCUGGGAUUCUCACGAAUAUUAUUCACCAAAUGAGGAUCAAGAACGGUAAAGGACCUUAGCAUUAGUCGGACGACGUCGUGGUCCGUCCAUCGCGUGCUUCCGUAGCUCCUUAUUUUGUUGAUAAGGGUCUUGAGCCGGUUGUAUGUUUGAGUUGGCUCCUCGCCCCUUAUCAUCGCGAACCGUCCAAGCUCGCCCUCCACCAACUCCAUUUUGGUGAGCAAGGUAGCGUCAUUUCCCUCAUGAGAGAUCUUGAGGGUAUCCCAGAUUUGCUUGGCGUUAUCCAAGCCACUCACUUUGUUAUAUUCAUCCCUGCACAAUGAAGCUAGAAGAACAGUAGUAGCUUGUGCAUUCUUAUGGAUUUGCUCAUUAAUGAAUAUAGGACUAUCCGAACUAUUAAAGUGCAUUCCACUAUCUACAAUCUCCCAUAUACUAGGAUGGAGAGAAAAUAGGUGACUACGCAUUUUGUGGCUCCAAAAUCCGUAGUCCUCCCCAUCAAAGUGUGGGGGCUUGCCGAGUGGAAUGGAAAGCAAAUGUGAAUUUGAGCUUUGCGGAAUACGAGAGUAGUCAAAGGAAAAGUUAGAAUUAACCGGUUUCCUUUGCUCGUAGUCGUUGUGGUCGUCGUCCUUUUGGGAAGAAGUAGACUCAUCACUGUCGUCGUAGUAGACGAUCUCCUUGAUGCGCCUCGUCUUCUUCUUCUUCCCUUCCUUUCGUCUAUGACCCGAGCCGGAGUCGGUAAGCUUGUCAUCUUUGAGCUCAUUGACGAAGGACUCUUUCUCCUUAUCGUUGAUCACGAUUCCCUUCCCCUUAGGAUCCAUCUCUUCGGGCGGCUAGUCCCUUUCUUGAAGAGAACGGCUCCGAUACCAAUUGAGAGCACCUAGAGGGGGGGGUGAAUAGGUGAUCCUGUAAAACUUAAACUUAUAGCCACAAAAACUUGUUAAGUGUUAGCACAGUUCUUGCCAAGUGGCUAGAGAGGAGUCAAAACACAAUAACCACAAGAAAUCAAUCACAGAGAUGACACGGUGGUUAUCCCGUGGUUCGGCCAAGUACAAAACUUGCCUACUCCACGUUGUGGCGUCCCAACGGACGAGAGUUGCACUCAACUCCUCUCAAGUGAUCCAAUGAUCAACUUGAAUACCACGGUGUUCUUGCUUUUCUUUUCUCAAUCCCGUUUGCGAGGAAUCUCCACAACUUGGAGCCUCUCGCCCUUACAAAAAGAUGUUCACAGAGAAUCACGGAGCAAGGGAGGGAUUAGCAACUCACACACGACAAACGAUCACAGCAAAUACGCACACACAAGACCCAGACUUGAGCUCAAGAGACUAGCACACUAGAACGGAGCUCAAAUCACUAGAAUGUCGAACAAGUGCGCAAGAUUGAUGUGUGAGUGAUCAAGAGUGCUCAAGGAAUGCUUGGUUUUUCUCCUCCAUGCGCCUAGGGGACCCUUUUAUAGCCCCAAGGCAGCUAGGAGCCGUUGAGAACAAAUCUGGAAGGCCAUCCCUGCCUUCUGUCGUCGGGUGCACCGGACAGUCCGGUGCACACCGGACACUGUCCGGUGCCCGAUUUAUUUCCAUAAACAGCGCAGUCGACCGUUGCAGACCGUUGGAGAUCUGGGAGCCAAUGGCGCACCGGACAUGUCCGGUGCACACCGGACAGUCCGGUGCCUCCUUCCGACCGUUGGCCAGGCCACGUGUCCCGCGCAGAUCGCGCGGCCGACCGUUGGCUCAGCCGACCGUUGGCUCACCGGACAGUCCGGUGCACACCGGACAGUCCGGUGAAUUAUAGCCGUACGCCGUCGGCAAAUUCCCGAGAGCGGCCUCUUCGGCCGAGGCAGCCUGGCGCACCGGACACUGUCCGGUGCACCACCGGACAGUCCGGUGCCCCAGACCGAAACAGCCCCUUUGCUGUACACAGCCAACUCUUUUCUUUUCUUUUUCUUCCUGUUUCCAAUACUUAGACAAGUAUAUUAGUACACAAAACCAAUGUACUAAGGCUUAGAAACAUACCUUUACUUGUGAUUUGCACCUUGUUCAUCCAUGGGCAUAGAUUCACAAUUAAGCACUUGUGUUUGCACUCAAUCACCAAAAUACUUAGAAAUGGCCCAAGGGCACAUUUCCCUUUCAGUACCCUAACCAUGUCUAUAGGUUCUCUAAGGCGCUUUAUGGGCUCAAGCAAGCCCCAAGAGCAUGGUAUGAAUGCCUUAGAGAUUUCCUUAUUGCUAAUGGCUUCAAAGUCGGUAAGGCCGAUCCUACUCUAUUCACUAAAACUCUUGACAAUGAUUUGUUUGUAUGCCAAAUUUAUGUUGAUGAUAUCAUAUUUGGGUCUACUAACGAAUCUACAUGUGAAGAAUUUAGUAGGAUCAUGACACAGAAAUUCGAGAUGUCUAUGAUGGGGGAGUUGAAGUAUUUCUUGGGAUUUCAAGUAAAGCAACUCCAAGAGGGCACCUUCAUUUGCCAAACAAAGUAUACUCAAGACAUUCUAAACAAGUUUGGAAUGAAGGAUGCCAAGCCCAUCAAGACACCCAUGGGAACAAAUGGGCAUCUCGACCUCGACACGGGAGGUAAGUCCGUGGAUCAAAAGGUAUACCGGUCGAUGAUAGGUUCAUUACUCUAUUUAUGUGCAUCUCGACCGGACAUUAUGCUUUCCGUAUGCAUGUGUGCAAGAUUCCAAGCCGACCCUAAGGAAUCUCACCUUACGACCGUAAAACGAAUCUUGAGAUAUUUGGCUUAUACUCCUAAGUUUGGGCUUUGGUACCCUCGGGGAUCCACAUUUGAUUUAAUUGGUUAUUCGGAUGCCGAUUGGGCGGGGUGUAAGAUUAAUAGAAAGAGCACAUCGGAGACUUGCCAGUUCUUGGGAAGAUCCUUGGUGUCUUGGGCUUCAAAGAAGCAAAAUUCGGUCGCUCUUUCUACCGCCGAAGCCGAGUACAUUGCCACAGGCCAUUGUUGCGCGCAAUUGCUUUGGAUGAGGCAAACCCUGCGGGACUAUGGUUACAAAUUAACCAAAGUUCCUCUUCUAUGUGAUAAUGAGAGUGCAAUCCGCAUGGCGGAUAAUCCCGUUGAGCAUAGCCGCACUAAACACAUAGCCAUUCGGUAUCAUUUUCUUAGGGAUCACCAACAAAAGGGGGAUAUCGAGAUUGCAUACAUUAAUACUAAAGAUCAAUUAGCCGAUAUCUUUACCAAGCCACUAGAUGAACAAACUUUUACCAAACUUAGGCAUGAGCUCAAUAUUCUUGAUUCUAGGAAUUUCUUUUGAUGUCUUGCACACUUAGCUCAUAAAUAUACCUUUGAUCAUGUCUCUUUUAUAUAUGCUAUGACUAAUGUGUUUUCAAGUGAAUUUCAAACCAAGUCAUAGGUAUAUUGAAAGGGAAUUGGAGUCUUCAGCGAAGAAAAGGCUUCCACUCCACUCUAUUACUCAUCCUUCGCCGUCGCUUGAAGCAACUCUCCAUCUUUGGUAUAAUCUUCACUCAUAUGUUUUUAUUUGCCAAAGGGGAGUAAGUAGUUAGCAAAGGGCCUAUAUUUCACUCUAAGUAUCCGUUUUUGGCGAUUCAUGCCAAAGGGGGAGAAAGUAUUGGCCCAAAGCAAAAGGACCACACCACCACCCAAAUUUCAAAAACUUAUGAUUUUCAAUUGGUAAAUUUCAAAUUGGUAUCUCAUUGUGCUCAAAAGGGGGAGAAAGUAGUAUUUUCAAAAUUGAUAUCUUAAAACCCUCUUGAACACUAAGAGGAGAAUUUUGUUUAGGGGGAGUUUUGUUUAGUCAAAGGAAAAGCAUUUGAAAAAGGGGAGAAAAUUUCAAAGCUUGAAAAUGCUUCUCAAAAUCUUACUCAUUUACCUUUGACUAUUUGCAAAAGAACUUUGAAAAGGAUUUACAAAAAGAAUUUGCAAAAACAAAACAUGUGGUGCAAGCGUGGUCCAAAAUGUUAAAAAUAAAGAAACAAUCCAUGCAUAUCUAGUAAGUAAUAUUUAUUGGCUAAAUUCCAAGUAACCUUUGCAUUUGCAUAUGCAAACUGGUUCAAAUUAUGCACUUAUAUAAUUGCUUUGGUUUGUGUUGGCAUCAAUCACCAAAAAGGGGAGAUUGAAAGGGAAUUAGGCUUCCACCUUUUUCCUAAAUAAUUUUGGUGGUUGAAUUGCCCAACACAAACAAUUGGACUAACUAGUUUGCCCAAGUUUAUAAGUUCUAUAGGUACCAAAGGUUCACAAUAAGCCAAUAAAAAGAUCAAGAGAAAGGGUUCAAACAAAGGAGCAAAGGGACAACCGAAGGCACCCUGGUCGGGCGCACCGGACUGUCCGGUGCACCAGGGGACUCCAAGCUAAACUUCGCACCUUCGGGAAAACUCGGAGCCGCCGCGCUAUAAUUCACCGGACUGUCCGGUGUACACCGGACAGUAUCCGGUGCUCCAGGAAUGAAGCGACUCUGAACUCGCCAGCUUCGGGAAUCCGCUCCGCUAUAAUUCACCGGACAUGUCCAGUGUACACCGGACUAUCCGGUGUAACAGCGGAGCAACGACUACUUCGGCGCCAACGGUUACCUGCAGGCGCAUUAAAUGCGCGCCAGAACGCGCAGAAGUCAGGCACGCGCGAAGUGGCGCACCGGACACUCUACAGUGCAUGUCUGGUGCGCCACCGGACAUCUAGGCGGGCCCAGCAGUCAGAGCUCCAACGGUCAUAACCCUAACGGUCGGGUGACGUGGCUGGCGCACCGGACAUGUCCGGUGUGCACCGGACUGUCCGGUGCACCAUGCGACAGACAGCCUCCACCCCAACGGCUAGUUUGGUGGUUGGGGCUAUAAAUACCCCAACCACCCCACAUUCAAUUGCAUCCAAGUUUUCACACUUCUACACCUUACAAGAGCUCUAGCAUUCAAUUCUAGACACACCUAAGUGAUCAAAUCCUUUCCAAUUCCACACAAGGCCUUAGUGAUUAGUGAGAGAGAUUUGCCGUGUUCUUUUGAGCUCUUGCGCUUGGAUUGCUUCUUUUCUUUCUCAAUUGUUCUUGUGAUCAAAACUCAUUUGUAACCAAGGCAAGAGACACCAAUUGUGUGGUGGUCCUUGCGGGGAAGUUUUGUUCCCGGUUGAUUUGAGAAGAAAAGCUCACUCGGUCCGAGGGACCGUUUGAGAGAGGGAAAGGGUUGAAAAAGACCCGGCCUUUGUGGCCUCCUCAACGGGGAGUAGGUUUGCGAGAACCGAACCUCGGUAAAACAAAUCCGCGUGUCACACUCCUCAUUCGCUUGUGAUUUGUUUUGCGCCCUCUCUCGGACUCAUUAUUAUUUCUAACGCUAACUCGACUUGUAGUUGUGUUUAAAUUGUUAAAUUUCAGUUUCUCCCUAUUCACCCCCCCUCUAGGCGACUUUCAGGAAUCCCUCGUCUAAAAAGCCAUCGCAACAUGAUCGAUCUGAGAACCUCCCUAUACGCAGCUCCUCUACCGCCCUUGCCCCUUUCGGGUAAGGUAGACCUCCACUACCUUUCCUAAUUAGUCAGCCAAGGUUGUCCCAUCCCACCCUUGUGGUAGCACUGUUUUCCUGGGUGGCCGCUCCAUGUUCUAAUUAAUAUAAUGAUCUUAUCAUGAACAAUAAUUAAAACAUCAGCAAAAUUGGAACAUGAGCAUAAUAUAACAUUAAUUCCCCAAAACCAGGUAGAGCAAUGUAAGUCUACCCAAUAGUUCAUUUGUCUGCAAGAAGUGGGGUAAACAAAACUAGAGAAACCUAUUAGGUCCCAUCAAAUUAACCUGAGCAUGUCACAGUGAUUAACCGAAACAUUAUUAGGUAGAGAAGAGUGAUCAAGGGCACAACUUGCCUGUGACUCAAGAUUCCAGGUACCAAGUCAAUCUUUAGAUUCUCGUGACCUCACCGCUAUUUGUAGCAAUACAUACCAAUAGACAAGGAUCACAUAAAAAUAACAGUACAUCAAACAUGAGAACAAACAACGUAAAAUAUUCUACGCUACUCUCUUGGAAUGGGGCUAGUCAAAAGAAGACACCUUGAUAAGGAUUUGCUAACCUCUGACUCCCUUUCACUUCAUAUUGGUACAUCACCAUUAAAGGUAUCCACACCUUUAUCUUGCAAUAAGAUGUUUUCAUCUUCAUUUAUCUGCUUAUCACCCCGCUUAGCUUUUUUGCGCUUUCUACCCUCAGCGAUUAUACGAUUAUACUCAAUCUUAGCUGCGGAAUCUAGUUCACUCACCAAUGUAGCAACUUGAACACUAGCCUUCUCCAAAGCAAACACAUUAAACUGCUUGCUUAAGACAAAUACAACUAUACAUUCCAGUGUAUAGGUGCCCAUAGCUCUAACGAUAUCUAGAUCGUCUGGUUUCUCUAACUUAUCAAAAAGGUAAUCCUUUGUUGUUUGCUCAGCUACGAGACCGUGGGCUCCAGAACCGCUACAUUCGGAGUUACGGUUAAAGAGUUAUGAUUUUCUGAAGAAUUAAGUGUUAGAUAUAAACAAAUUAAGUACAUGAUUUUAACAAUAUGUUUCAUACUAAAAUAAGAUUACUAGAUGAUAAACAAUUUUAACAUGAAUUUAUUGCAACUGAAAUGGAUCAAUCUGGAGUUAAAAUCAAUAAGAUAUGGAUUAACUAGGUUUAUUAUAUUAUUUUCAUACUUAAAACUAAUUUCGGCAUUUAUUUAUUAACUUCUGGAGUUCUGUGGACGAUGGCUCAUAUUUUAUAAAAGGUUAGGGGUCUGAUUGAAGCAAAAAGGGCUCGGUUGUAAUGAUCUGUACACUACUAAGCAUGGCAGAUUGAUUAUGCAAAACAACAGGGGCUCUUUAGCAUAUUGUCGAGGCCGAAGGGGUAGAGAGGUCGGAUGCCAUAGAAACGGCGGAGGUCGGGCGAGGUAGAGCAUGAGCGCGGGCUUGGGCGAACCGAGGCGCGAGCGCAGGGCUCGAGCGGCGCGGCCGAGGCAGCAGGCUCGAGCGAACCGAGGCAUGAGCGCAGGAGCUCGAGCGGCACGGCGGAGGCAGCGGGCUCGGGCGGAGCACGGGCGAGAGCGGGCUCGGGCGAGAGCGGGAGGCGAGCACGGGAGCUCGGGCGAAGCGCGCCACGAGGGAGUGGGCUCGAGCGAGCAUGGGGCGCGAGCACGUGAGCUCGGGCGACACGACAGAGGCUCGAGUCGAUGGUGCAGAGGCUCGGGCGGCGUGCGCGCCGAGGGAGUGAUCUCGGGCAGAACGCGGGGGCUUGGGCGCAGGAGCUCGGGCGAGACAGUCGAGGGCAGUAGCGCACAGGUUCACCACGGCGGGCAACGCCAGUGAGCAGCGCGUCCAACGCCCCGGAGUACGAUUCCUAGCGCCGAUAGGUAAUACACAUUCUACGAAGCAUAUUGAAUUGAUUACGGUGGAGCUUCUGAGGAGAUUCUUACCUGCAGCGAGGCUAUGGCGAAGCCGACCCACAUCAUGCAGUGGAUUCGUGGCGGAGGCGGCACAUCUCUCUGUUUUCUCUCUUCUCUCGGUCGCUCUGGUCGGUGGCGCACAAUAGGCACAGGGUCAUGGCUCAACCUUUAUAUGCAUUGGGGUGGGCGAGUCCGAGCCGAGAAGGUCGGUAGCAGGAUCCUAGAGUUGUUGCAACAAAAUCUCGAGGAAGCGGAGGCGGCUAUGGUGUGGGGCGCGCAGGAUCGGCGAUGUCUGUUGCGGGCGGCGUUGGUUCGUCACUGAGAGGCACGAAGGAGUUGACAACUCGGCCCCACACGUCGGUCGAGGUGAGACCGUGCGCGGGUGUGUGGUUGAGGGGUUGCGACGUGGGCUGAUCUACACGGAUGAAGUGGGCCGAGGUACAGAUUGGGUCUAGAGCAAGGUUUCCCUUUUUUGUUUUCUAUUUUCUGUUUUCUUCCCUACUCUGAUUUCCAAGUUUCAAAUCAAGUUCGAAUAAAGUUUGAAUUUAUAAUGCAC
rnacentral:lncRNA from 1 species